rnacentral:tRNA from 1 species
GCGGGAGUAGCUCAAUGGUAGAGUACUAGCCUUCCAAGCUAGGUGUUGCGGGUUCAAGUCCCGUCUCCCGCUCCA